rnacentral:rRNA from 1 species
CCUACGGGGGGCAGCAGUGAGGAAUAUUGGUCAAUGGACGGAAGUCUGAACCAGCCAUGCCGCGUGCAGGAAGACGGCUCUAUGAGUUGUAAACUGCUUUUGUACAAGGGUAAACCUGAAUACGUGUAUUCAGCUGAAAGUACUGUACGAAUAAGGAUCGGCUAACUCCGUGCCAGCAGCCGCGGUAAUACGUAGGUGGCAAGCGUUGUCCGGAUUUACUGGGUGUAAAGGGCGUGCAGCCGGGAAGACAAGUCAGAUGUGAAAUCCCGCGGCUCAACCGCGGAACUGCAUUUGAAACUGUUGUUCUUGAGUAUCGGAGAGGUAAUCGGAAUUCCUAGUGUAGCGGUGAAAUGCGUAGAUAUUAGGAAGAACACCAGUGGCGAAGGCGGAUUACUGGACGACAACUGACGGUGAGGCGCGAAAGCGUGGGGAGCAAACAGGAUUAGAUACCCCUGUAGUC